GAAAAGGUGGAGGUAGAGGAAACUAGAGAAACUCAAAGGGUGGUGACAAGUCGAAGUAUAUAUGCUUCAAUUGUCACAAGACGAGUCACUUCAAGAGGGAUUGUCCCGAAUCAAGGAACAAUGGUAACUCCACACAAGUUGUAAUUGUCUUAGAGGAUUACAAGGAUGUGAGUGAUAUGGCGGUGUUAUGUUGGGGGAGAUGAAGAAGGUGAAGUUCGUCACCUUGGAAAUGAU
rnacentral:lncRNA from 1 species